ensembl:lncRNA
AAUUCCUGACAGUGUUCCCAGUCAGGAGAACACUGACCAGUUCUGAGCUUCACAACACCCCCUUAUUUGACAUCUCUUCUCCCUGACUCCUUGCAGAUUGUUACUCUGCUUAUGCUCCAAGUGCAUCUGAACACCCAAACAGUGCUCCCACACAAUAACAUUUAAAUUUUUCUGUUGGCAGAUAUGAAAAUUCUAGAUUUUUGGGAGACCAAAACCAGCAAUUGUUCAAGCAUCCUCUUAGUCUGUGCAGUUGCUCCUCACUAGGACUGUGGUCCCUAUUCUUCAGUGACCUAAUGAAUAUCAUCCCAAUUGGAGGUCUGGGGUCCCACACUAAACCUACUUUAAGCAAUUUUCCCAAGCUACCCUCUGAUUUUUUCAACCUGCUUUCACCAGAGCUUUGUCAUGGUGUUCCAUAGUACCAAUAUUUCCAAAUUUAGCAGCUCAGGCCCUUAAUCUGAAAAGACCCUUAUAUCCCUAUAUCUUCAUAUUCAAAACAAAAUGUAGGUUUCAACUUUGGUUUUGCCAUUAACAUGUUAUGUGAUGUAAGGCAAAAUAUUGAAUCCUGCCAUAGCAUUGUUGGGGUUUUUUUACAAAUAUGCUUUCCUACUCCAGUUUUAUGUUACUAAGCUUAUAAGAUUUUAGUGUCAGGAAAGAGUUUUACUGGGCAUACACAGAGAAGAAAAUGUUCCGAAUUGAAACACAUACUAUUAUAACUUGAAUAAAAAUACAUCAUUGUGUCCAUUCCUUACAUGUUUAUCAACUGCACAUUUUCCACUCAGAUUUUUAUAUUAUACAUUUACACAAUGUCCUUCGCCACCACCUUUCCAUUUUGACAGUGUUUAUACACUUAAACAACACAUUCAGAAAAAAAUUGAAAAUUUAAACAGUUAGAUGUUCACUGUUAUCCCAGGGUAUUGUGUUCAUUUUCUAGUAAGUGCCUCUAGUGCACUGGGGUCCCUAAUCAAUGUAAAUAUUGUUUAAGAUGAACAUUGCAGUGGGCAUACCAUGGAGCCAGACCACCAGCAGAGCAUUAAACAGGGACAGAUGUGAAUGCCAGGAUAAAAAUGAAGACAUUCCUGAACUGAACAAAACAUUUGACUCUUGGGAAAAGCAAAACCAGUGCCCUGUGAUGCCUUCAUGCAUUAUGAGACUGGGACCUGACUACAGAUGAUUAUACACUGAUAAAUACUGCCACCAAUGCUCCAGUCGUACUGCUGGUCUUCCCAGUUGUGUUCAGCCCUGAGGAAAGCCUGACCACUGGAAUGCUCUCUCUCUGCUGGGUGUUGGAAAAACUAGACUAGAGCAGCAAGAGUGCAGCAGCAUCCCAUCAACAGCCACGGGGUUGUCUUUAAAACAGGACUGGACUGAGUGGUACCAUGGGCAAGAGGUAACUGGGACCUUCUUGGGCCUCAUCUGAUGAGAGGAUGGCUUUUUAAAAUAUUUUUAUGAUGGAGAUAUUGUUCACAAAAUAUGGUAUUGAGAAAUCAAUGGUUUUGUUUGCACUUUUAUUUCUAAAAGAACUCCUUUUUAUUUACUUUGUGUCGUGCUGAAUUUUCAAUGGAAACAUUUGACUGAAAGCAUAGCAAGGAGCAUGUGAACUAAUUCUGUGAACAGAAUUGGGAUAAAAUUUGGGAAAGCACCUUGAGACAAUAAAAUCAAUGCAUUAUGUGAACCUAUUUUCUUUGCAAUUUUAGUUCUCUAAAGAACCCUGGAAACCUUGGAGGAAGCUUGCCCUGAGUGCACGUUUGAUCUGGGAACUGUUCACAAACAGCAAAUUCAAAACCUUCUAAAUAUUGGGGGUUCUAGAAUGGCUGAUGUGAGCUGUGGAUGCAGAGGAUAUGCAGCAGAAAAUGUAAUUCAGUUCUUAUCCCUCCCUUCAGUACUACUUGAAUAACAUUCACAGAUUUUUUUAGAAAUUUUUACAAUAUAUUACAUAUACUUUAGGUUUCCCCACCCUAUUGUUUUGUCCUGUAAAGCUGCCUUAAUAGUUCUGUUUUAAGAAUACAAUGUUACAUCUGUUCUAAGUUUCUUUAUUAGGAGUAACUCUACCAUGCCCAUGACUUUCAGUAGCACAGCAUUUUGAUCCUUUAGAAGAUGAGGGAGAUGAAGCCUGAGAUCCCCUUAUGAUUAGUCAGAAAAAAAACCCCAAAGGCUUACAAAUAUUUCAGGAC